GAAGAGAAGACUUUUUAAAACCAAAUUCGACUAUAUGUCAUAAAUCGAGAUUCAAUGAAAGCGAAAAAACUCUCAUUCGAGUUUUCCAAUAAGUGUAGUCUAUCCCAUUGAAAAAGGAGGAAAUAUGAGAGAGUGACUCUUUUGAAAGCCAAAAAGAGUCAUUUCUCUUGGGUGUUAAACCAACUGAGAAAUCAUGAGGCUCUGAUACCAAUUAUUAGGAUCAGGGGUCGACACUAAGAGGGGGGGUGAAUUAGUGCAAUGGUAAAAUCACAUCU
rnacentral:lncRNA from 1 species